CAAAAAAUAGUUUAUUUAAAAUACUAGUUUUGGGGGCUAGAGAUAAGGGUUAAUCCUUUUUUUUGA
rnacentral:tRNA from 1 species